rnacentral:rRNA from 1 species
GAUGAACGCUAGCGGCAGGCUUAAUACAUGCAAGUCGUGGGGCAGCAUGAGUAGCAAUACUUGAUGGCGACCGGCAAACGGGUGAGGAACACGUACACAACCUUCCUUCAAGCGGGGAAUAGCCCAGAGAAAUUUGGAUUAAUACCCCAUAAUAUAUUUGAUAAGGCAUCUUAUUAAUAUUAAAGCUUCGGCACUUGAUGAUGGGUGUGCGGCUGAUUAGAUAGUUGGCGGGGUAACGGCCCACCAAGUCUACGAUCAGUAGCUGAUGUGAGAGCAUGAUCAGCCACACGGGCACUGAGACACGGGCCCGACCCCUACGGGAGGCAGCAGUAAGGAAUAUUGGACAAUGGACGAAAGUCUGAUCCAGCCAUGCCGCGUGAAGGAUUAAGGUCCUCUGGAUUGUAAACUUCUUUAUAUGGGACGAAAAAAGGGCAUUCUUGUUCACUUGACGGUACCAUAUGAAUAAGCACCGGCUAACUCCGUGCCAGCA